CACCAUCACUCGACCAAGCACUCG
rnacentral:siRNA from 1 species